rnacentral:misc_RNA from 1 species
GUAACUACAUUUAGCGUUUACAUGAAAUGUGAAAACCUCAAUAGUCAGGGAUUGCAGUAAAUCGAUAACCUUGAGCACCUCUCCAAGAGUAAUAUGCAAUACGCGUCUCAUAGAAACCAGGGAGAAAAGUGAGGAUUCCGAGUCCAAGGAGACCAUAUGCCUGGGAACUCUCUCCUUCCAUAUGACCAGAUAAGAUGAAGUAGGAUAGUAAGAGAAGCAAACAUCCCAGAAAGAGCAGAAAAAGAGCAAGGGCAAUGGACUUCCAGGGGAUUCUAUCUAACGAUUUUGGUGAAUAAUCAAAUCUAGGGUCAGCUCGCUUGCCAGAAUAUCCAUAAUAGUCGUCAUCAUCAUCCACAGCGAGACGACUGUAAUUAAUAUUCCGCCUAGAAGCCAUACACUAGAAUUCCCAGUCUUUGAAUUGGAAUAGAUGUCUUGAUGAGAAAGAAAGCUCAAAUUCACCUAACAAGGUGACCGGAACACCGACGGAAGCUGACCGGCG